UGUAGGCAAGGGAAGUCG
rnacentral:snRNA from 1 species